UACGUAGGGUGCGAGCGUUGUCCGGAAUCAUUGGGCGUAAAGCGCGCGUAGGCGGCCCGGUAAGUCCGUUGUGAAAGUCAAAGGCUCAACCUUUGAACGCCGAUGGAUACUGCCGGGCUAGAGUCCGGAAGAGGAGAGUGGAAUUCCUGGUGUAGCGGUGAAAUGCGCAGAUAUCAGGAAGAACACCUAUGGCGAAGGCAGCUCUCUGGGACGGUACUGACGCUGAGACGCGAAAGCGUGGGGAGCGAACAGG
rnacentral:rRNA from 1 species